rnacentral:tRNA from 1 species
GUCCCGGUAGCUUAUUCUAAAGCAUUGGUCUUGUAAACCAAAGAUUGAGAUAUAAUUCUUCUCCCAGGACU